AGAACGAACGCUGGCGGCAUGCCUAAUACAUGCAAGUCGAACGAACACUUCGGUGUUAGUGGCGCACGGGUGCGUAACGCGUGGGAAUCUGCCCUUGGGUUCGGAAUAACAGUUGGAAACGACUGCUAAUACCGGAUGAUAUCGAAAGAUCAAAGAUUUAUCGCCCAGGGAUGAGCCCGCGUAGGAUUAGCUAGUUGGUGAGGUAAAGGCUCACCAAGGCGACGAUCCUUAGCUGGUCUGAGAGGAUGAUCAGCCACACUGGGACUGAGACACGGCCCAGACUCCUACGGGAGGCAGCAGUAGGGAAUAUUGGACAAUGGGCGCAAGCCUGAUCCAGCAAUGCCGCGUGAGUGAUGAAGGCCUUAGGGUUGUAAAGCUCUUUUACCCGAGAUGAUAAUGACAGUAUCGGAGAAUAAGCCCCGAUAACUCCGCGCCAGCAGCCGAC
rnacentral:rRNA from 1 species